rnacentral:rRNA from 1 species
UACGUAGGCAGCGAGCGUUUGUUCGGAAUUACUGGGCGUAAAGAGUGUGUAGGCGGUGCUCUAAGUUCGGUGUGAAAUCUCCUGGCUCAACUGGGAGGGUGCGCCGGAAACUGGAGUGCUUGAGCGUGGGAGAGGAAAGCGGAAUUCCUGGUGUAGCGGUGAAAUGCGUAGAGAUCGGGAAGAACAUCGGUGGCGAAAGCGCUCUACUGGACCACAACUGACACUCAGGGACGAAAGCUAGGGGAGCGAAUGGG